ACGAUCUGCACGCACGCGCCGCACCCCGUCGCCCCCUCCCCCGGCAUUCUCCUCAACCGCGCAUCUCCUCUCUUCGCGGUUGCUCUCCGCCCCCGCGUCCCUUCCCUGCGAUGAGACGGGAGCGACACCGGCCGCCCUCCCAUCGACGACACGCGGAGCGACGAUGCCCAGUGCACUAAUCCCAGCGUCGGUCAGCCGCCCUCCUCUCCCCGGCUCCCCAGCCCCCAACUGGCGGCUCCACCCACCGCCCUGCGCAGCUGCGUGGCCGAGCUGUCGCUGCACUGCCUGGCCGCCGUAGCCGUCGGGCUCAGGGCGCGUUGGAGACAGCCUUUCUACCUCGGCUGGCCUCCCAUCGAUGCUGCCGCCGCCGCUCCAGGCCCCAUCCAACUUUGUGGAUCCGCUGUACACGGAGCUCUAGAGCCUGCAGCAUCCUCCAUCUCCAGCAGAACCUGUCCAUCCCCAACACUGCCUGCUCAAGGCAGGUUGUAUGUUUACGCUGAAUCUCCUGCUUUAUUUCUGUCACAAUCGAAACUGUUUGCGGAUGUGAGAAGUCAGUGCAUUCCACGAUAUUCAGUUUUGACAUAUUGCAUUUUCUGCUAUUUUUAUCGAAAUAAGAAUAGUAUAAGAUCCAUGACUUUGCUGGAGGCUGUGAUAAAAAUAAAAGUGACAUGCGUGAAUCAAUAUAUUUGAGGUAAGAUUAUGUACAAGAGUUUCUCAAGGACACUGAAACAAAAUGUUAUUUCCUGGUCAUUUUUUUGUGGUCUUCAGUAAUGAAAACUCAAAAUAUGCCAUUUUUUAUCAACUACCAGAAACAUUAGAGAAUGGUCUUUUGCAUAUUGUUACGAAUUGGUUUUGGCGAUGGAUAAGAUAGUUAUGAUUGCAGCAUUGUAUGCUACAUAUUAUCAUGGUUGGAGUCAAUGUUCUGUUGAUAUAUUUUGCAUUCUAGAUCUGUGGCAUACAAUACUUUCUAUGGAGUCUAGAUCUUAUAAGCCAUUAUUUUGCAGGCCAAACAUUAUGAUUGUGUCAUACAGUACGGACUUCUGCAUAUUAGCUUAGUUCUUGAAAUAAUUGUCUGUUUUGGGGAUAAAGAAGUUAUUCAAUGAUGCCAGAUUUGCCUUACAUCUUUACACAAGAAUUCUGAUAUUUGUGGUUUGUAAGAACUUUUGCUAGGUGGAGUUUCUUCUGGUUUACCUGGACACAACAUAUGGGUAUGACCGCACAGAAGCGCACUUUCCAUGGUAUGGUGGCUCUCUUCUUAUGCAAAUGGACACCAAAGAAAAACCACAACUAAUCAUAUCCCGCCCUUGAUAUUCAAUGAUAAUGAUUCCUCUGCAAGAAAUCCGAACAAGAGCACUAUGACGCAACAAAUGGAGGCAAAUGAAGUAAGAACCUUAACAGACAAAAGAAGGUUCAUGUAUAAAUGGGUGCAAAUGGUUUAUGCCCAGGUUAUGGUUCGCAAGUCUUUGAAUUUUUCUUAUGGCACUGGAAAAAGGUUGGGCGCUCAAGUCCAUCUCUGUGAGCGAGCCAUCAAAAUGCUAGCGUCAACAUUCAACCAUUAGGUGCGUCCUUGGCUUCUCGACAUAACCUUUAAAGAAUUGGUCAACCAUGCACAGAUUGUACUAUACAAUGCACAAUUUCUCAAUUUUAUGUCUCAGUAAUCCCAACCCUGAUACAAAUAAAAUUGUGGCUGAAAGAGGAAAAAAUUUGUCACCGUGCUAAUUAUGGCCACAAGCAGUGAGUUUGCCAAUCAGGAGCGAACCCAUUUCAUAUUAACUAUAAGGUGCAGUUGUUUCAGAGUUCAGACUUUCAAACUAACUUUCAAUGGCCUGAAAUAUAGAGGAUGUUGCUGCAAUUUCUGCAAAACAUGGUGCGUCAUCACGCUCCCAUAUAAAAAAUUGCCGACCAUCUAAACGUAAAUGAUGUGUCCUCUUUUAAUCUGUGGUUCCACAUGUCAGCCUGGUAGCAGGGAACAUGAAUUACAUUAUCCUGCUAUGAACAUUCAGCUUGCCUUCAAUCUGAGACUUUUGUAAGUAUGUUCUAGGGUUGUCUUACAUUUGUUAUCAUGAAGGUUUGAUAGAAAACUGAUCCCAAAAUAAAGAAAGAUGCAGGAAACAUGGUUAGGCUUAUGAAUCCGUGGAUGAGGAAUGUAUUAAGAACUCUGUGGCCUUCCAUCUGUCCUGUACAUGAGGAACUCUGUUCUUUACCUUGUGCUGCAGUUGCAUGCUUGAAACUUGGCUCCUGAAUAUAGACAUUGCAGAGUUCGAUAAAAAUGCCAUGUAUUUUCAUUUUGUUGAUUAUGCCAUACUAUCGUCUUUUUUAGCUUGGUUUUAGGAUUCAUCAAUAUAAUGUACUCUAUGAUAGUAUGGUGCCAUUUGAUGAUGUGAACCCGUAGCAAUGCACGGGUACAUAGCUAGUAAUAAUGAAUUCUCAUUCACGUAUAUGUAGUUUGAACCAAUAAUAUGCUCUGAUACUAAAAUAUUUACGUGAUUCACCAUUUCUCAUAUACACCCUAAUAAUAAAUAUUUGAGAAACUAAUGACAGGCUUGGACCUUCUCCGUCGUCAUCAAUGUCAUCCCCAUUCUCACUUUCAUCAUCAUCACCUACACAAUAAUAACCAUGCUAUAGAGAUUUAUGAAAAAUAAAACAUUAAUAACAAAUAUCAUUUAUGUUCAUGAUUUAUUAGUAUUGUAAUUAAAAACCGCGAAUAUUAUCAUCAUCAUCCCCACCAUUAAUGUCAUUUUGAUGGACAUCUAUGUAACAUUGAAAUGAAACAUAUAAGAACAAGGGACAAGCCGCUAAUUGUAACAAAAUUAUUUUAAUAACACUAAGAAAUUAUAUGUUAUAAUAUAGAACAACUGAUAAAACA